rnacentral:rRNA from 1 species
CCUACGGGUGGCAGCAGUGAGGAAUAUUGGUCAAUGGUCGGGAGUCUGAACCAGCCAUGCCGCGUGCGGGAGGAAGGCACUGUGUAUUGUAAACUUCUUUUGUACGGGAAUAAACACUGGUACGCGUAUCUGUCUGAGAGUAUCGUACGAAUAAGGAUCGGCUAACUCCGUGCCAGCAGCCGCGGUAAUACGGAGGAUUCGAGCGUUAUCCGGAUUUAUUGGGUUUAAAGGGUGCGUAGGCGGUCGGAUAAGUUAGCGGUGAAAGCCCGAGGCUCAACUGCGGAAGUGCCUGUGAUACUGGUAGGCUAGAGUGUAGGUGCGGUAGGCGGAAUGUGCGGUGUAGCGGUGAAAUGCUUAGAUAUCAUACAGAACACCGAUUGCGAAGGCAGCAUACCAAGUUACCUCUGACGGUGAGGCACGAAAGCGUGGGGAUCAAACAGGAUUAGAUACCCGUGUAGUC